rnacentral:lncRNA from 1 species
AAACUAAGAUAUUCCGAUGAUGAAGACCCUAGUAGUAGUCCUCAGCCUCAGCUUAACCCUCCUUUCCUUCGGAGGUAAACAAGCUUCUUAUUUUCUUUAAGUUUUUCAUUUUGGGCAAACGAUAGAAAUACUCAUUGAUCUUUUCUUAAAGUCGAAGCUUCUUAUUUUCUUUAAUUUUGAUUUCAUAUUUGUUCACAAUAAGUGUGGUUUGUGAUUACUGCAUCAAAUUAAUUGUGGUUUACUUUGCAUGGCAGGUGCACAUGCAGCGACAAUUUCUUUCAAAAACAAUUGCCCCUACACGGUCUGGCCAGCCUCCUUUGGAAAUCCUCAAUUAUCAACCACAGGGUUCGAGUUACCAUCCCAAGCUAGCUUCCCGCUAGACACUCCGGCGCCAUGGAGUGGCCGCUUCUGGGCCCGAACUGGAUGCACGGACGCCUCUGGAAAGUUCGUCUGCGAAACCGCAGACUGUGACUCUGGUCAGCUCAUGUGCAACGGUAAGACUGGCAUUCCGCCGGCAACUUUAGCGGAAUUCACUAUUGCAGCAGGCGGAGGACAAGAUUACUACGAUGUUAGUCUUGUUGAUGGCUUCAACUUGCGCAUGUCUGUGACUCCACAAGGCGGUACCGGCACCUGCAAGACGGGUAGUUGCGCGGCGAACGUGAACGCAGUUUGUCCGAGUGAGCUGCAAAAGAUAGGGUCCGAUGGGAGCGUGGUUGCCUGCUUGAGCGCAUGUGUUAAAUUCAAUCAGCCACAGUACUGUUGCACUCCGCCUCAAGAAACUAAAGAGAAAUGCCCACCAACAAAUUACUCUCAGAUAUUCCAUGACCAAUGCCCCGACGCUUACAGCUAUGCUUAUGAUGACAACAAGGGUUUAUUUACGUGCAGUGGUGGACCUAACUACCUCAUUACUUUCUGCCCAUGAUGAGCAUACAUAUAUAUAUGAACUAUAGAAAGGACAAGAUCUUUCAUAAAGAUAGGACUCUCGACAUGUAAUUGAUAAUGUGUCGAUAAUUAGUCCGGCUAUUAAAUGUUUGAUCUUUAAUAAAGGUACGACUCUCGACAUGUAAUUAGUAACGUGUCGAUUAUUAUAGUCUGGCUAUGUAUCAAGCAUUUGAUCUUAAAUAAAGAAAGAAUUGUCCCCAAUUGAUAAGGUGUUGAUAUUAUUAUCGUCAAUAAUAAGUAUUGAUAUGUUUGUUAAUGUAUGCAAAGCAAACUAAGAUAUUCCGAUGAUGAAGACCCUAGUAGUAUUCCUCAGCUUAACCAUCCUUUCCUUCGGAGGUAAACAAGUUUCUUAUUUUCUUUAAGUUUUUCAUUUUGGCCAAACGAUAGAAGCUUCUUAUUAAGUGUGGUUUGUGAUUACUGCAUCAAAUUAAGUGUGGUUUACUUUGCAUGGCAGGUGCACAUGCAGCGACAAUGUCUUUCAAAAACAACUGCCCCUACACGGUCUGGCCAGGAACCCUAACCUCCGAUCAAAAACCUCAAUUAUCAACCACAGGGUUCGAGUUAGCAUCCCAAGCUAGCUUCAGCCUAGACACUCCGGUGCCAUGGAACGGCCGCUUCUGGGCCCGAACUGGAUGCUCCACGGACGCCUCUGGAAAGUUCGUCUGUGCCACUGCAGACUGUGCCUCUGGUCAGGUCACGUGCAACGGUGCCGGUGCCAUUCCGCCAGCAACUUUAGCGGAAUUCAAUAUUCCAGCAGGCGGAGGACAAGAUUUCUACGACGUUAGUCUUGUUGAUGGCUUCAACUUGCCCAUGUCUGUGACUCCACAACCACAAGGCGGUACCGGAGACUGCAAGACGGCUAC